CAGGGAGACAACAAAAUGUUAAAUAUUAAUUUUGUCACCUUAGGUCGAUCGGUACCUCAGAUUCUUAAUUUUUUUAAGAAUUUCAUUUCCUAAGUUUUUUCUAGGUCACACCCAUUACUUUUCCUGGGCCAUUAGCUCAGGUGGUUAGAGCGCACCCCUGAUAAGGGUGAGGUCCCUGGUUCAAGUCCAGGAUGGCCCAUAUCUCUAUGUUGGGGGUAUAGCUCAGUUGGUAGAGCGCCUGCUUUGCAAGCAGGAUGUCAGCGGUUCGAGUCCGCUUACCUCCACUGAUUACCACCUCUUCCAUACAUUGAACAGGGAACAGUAAUAAGUGUUUCUAUUCUGAACGAAUCUAGCUUCCUAAUAAACUUAUUAAGAUGCUGGACUCAUUGAAUUAAUUUCAUUGUUUUCAGAGAACCUUGACAACUGCAUAGAUUAUUUUUAAAGACAAUAAGCAUCUUUAUGAUGCAGAUUUAUUAUUUGUGCGAAUGCAUUAAAUAACAAUUCUAUUAAGCUGAUGCUUCAAAUAUGAAGUAAUU
rnacentral:tRNA from 1 species